rnacentral:lncRNA from 1 species
CCUCUGACAUGGGGAUUGAGAAUGCUUCGGCUAUGAAAAGCGUGGUGUCUGACUCAGGACACAGCUCCCACAGCCCUAAGUGGGCAAAUGCCACACAGUGUCAAGCAUGAACCACCUCUGAAGGAGCAUUUACUAUCUCAAGACCUUUGGGCAUCUUGUCCCUUCUACCUGGAAUACCCUUCCUUCAAAAUUCAGAGCCAAAAGCAAAAAGCGUUCGCUGAUCGCAGAGGGGGAGAGGGAUGUGGAAGGGCUUGGGGCGCAGAAUUAGUUGCUACCUCCUCUGGGCGUUCACAGGCCAAAUUUCCUUGGUGUGGCACGUAGCAUUCUGUGAUUGUGCCUGUUUCCCUGUGGUCUGGUCCUGUGCCUAUUGGCCCAAUUACACUGGGAGUCAUACA